AACGAACGCUGGCGGCAGGCUUAACACAUGCAAGUCGAGCGCCCCGCAAGGGGCGCGGCAGACGGGUGAGUAACGCGUGGGAACGUACCUUUUGGUUCGGAACAACUCCGGGAAACUGGAGCUAAUACCGGAUAAGCCCUAACGGGGAAAGAUUUAUCGCCGAAAGAUCGGCCCGCGUCUGAUUAGCUAGUUGGUGAGGUAACGGCUCACCAAGGCGACGAUCAGUAGCUGGUCUGAGAGGAGGAUCAGCCACACUGGGACUGGGACACGGCCCAGACUCCGCGGGGGGGCAGCAUGGGGGAAUAUGGGACAAGGGGCGCAAGCCUGAUCCGGCCAUGCCGCGUGAGUGAUGAAGGCCUUAGGGUUGUAAAGCUCUUUUGUCCGGGAAGAUAAUGACUGUACCGGAAGAAUAGGCCCCGGCUACCUUCGU
rnacentral:rRNA from 1 species